rnacentral:rRNA from 1 species
GACGAACGCUGGCGGCGUGCCUAAUACAUGCAAGUCGAACGAGAGCGACCGGUGCUUGCACUGGUCAAUCUAGUGGCGAACGGGUGAGUAACACGUGGGUAACCUGCCCAUCAGAGGGGGAUAACAUCCGGAAACGGAUGCUAAAACCGCAUAGGUCUUCGAGCCGCAUGGCUUGAAGAGGAAAAGAGGCGCAAGCUUCUGCUGAUGGAUGGACCCGCGGUGCAUUAGCUAGUUGGUGAGGUAACGGCUCACCAAGGCCGUGAUGCAUAGCCGACCUGAGAGGGUGAUCGGCCACAUUGGGACUGAGACACGGCCCAAACUCCUACGGGAGGCAGCAGUAGGGAAUCUUCCGCAAUGGACGCAAGUCUGACGGAGCAACGCCGCGUGAGUGAAGAAGGUUUUCGGAUCGUAAAACUCUGUUGUUAGAGAAGAACAAGUGCUAGAGUAACUGUUAGCGCCUUGACGGUAUCUAACCAGAAAGCCACGGCUAACUACG